rnacentral:rRNA from 1 species
CUGGCUUAGGAUGAACGCUAGCGACAGGCCUAACACAUGCAAGUCGAGGGGCAGCGCGGGAGAAGCUUGCUUUCCUGGCGGCGACCGGCGCACGGGUGCGUAACAGGUGUGCAAUCUGUCCAUAGUCGGGGAAUAGCCCAGCGAAAGUUGGAUUAAUGCUCCAUGCGUCACGAAGCCGCAUGACUUUGUGAUGAAACGUAAGGACUAUGGGUGAGCACGCUUCUGAUUAGAUAGUUGGUGAGGUAACGGCUCACCAAGUCGACGAUCAGUAGGGGUUCUGAGAGGAAGGUCCCCCACAUUGGAACUGAGACACGGUCCAAACUCCUACGGGAGGCAGCAGUGAGGAAUAUUGGUCAAUGGGCGAGAGCCUGAACCAGCCAAGUCGCGUGAAGGAUGAAGGUUCUAUGGAUUGUAAACUUCUUUUGUCCGAGGGUAAAAAAGGCCACGUGUGGCUUCUUGCAAGUAUCGGACGAAUAAGCAUCGGCUAACUCCGUGCCAGCCGCUGC